CGCGUGCGGGAUGAAGGCCUUCGGGUUGUCAAUCGCUGUCAGUUGGGAGGAAAUCUAUGGGGGUUCUCCCCCAUAUUUGACCUAUCUUCAAGGAGGGACGGGCUAAUUCGUGCCUGCACCGCGGUAAGACAACCGUCCAACUUAUUCGGAAUCACUGGGCUUAAAGGGUGCGUAGCUGCUUGCAGUGGGUGUGAAAUCCCUCGGCUCAACCGAGGAACUGCGCUCAAAACUGCCAGCAGAGGAAGAUUUUUUUUUCGGAACAAUGGUGGACGGUGAAAUGCGUUGAUUUCAUUAGGAACACCUGCGCCCCACGCGGUCAUGGGUCUUUUCUGACGCUGAGGCCAAGCUAGGGUAGCGAACGGGAUUAAUACCCCGGUAGCCAACCUGAAACGAUGACCACUGGUUGGGGGCUCCUCCUAAGUUUCCACCGAACCAAAAGGUUAAUGCUCCCCUGGGGAGUAUGGUCGCAAGGUGAAAUCAAAGGAAUUGAGGGGGGUCACACAAAUCACUUGAAUUCGGGGCCGCCUGGAGGCGACAUAUGGGAAAGCUCCCAACGCGUUGAAGCAUACUUGAUAAUCAUAUGGCCCCCAAAAUCCUGGAAUCAUGGCCUACCUGUUUCCUGA
rnacentral:rRNA from 1 species